AUAAAAAACAUCCCCUGGAUAAGCCUCACGGCCGGGAGGUCUUCUUAAUAGAAGGGACAUUUGGCGAUAAGCUUGUGCCUGUUUGGAGAGAUCAUCAUAAAUUAUUAAAGUAUGCCGUUCGCGGUACAUAAAAUACUCAGCCAGGGCUGCUCCCGUAUAAGGAGCGAGGUAUUGUAAUGUAGCAGGUGAAUCCGCCAUUUCAGCUACUACAAUAGUGUAUUCCAUAGCCCCCUCCUCAUGGAAAGUAGUUACUACUUGAGCUACGGAGGAUGCUCUUUGACCGAUAGCUACAUAAACACAUAUUACACCUUGCCCUUUUUGAUUGAGAAUUGUAUCUGUGGCUACUGCUGUUUUGCCAGUCUGUCUGUCCCCAAUAAUUAACUCUCGCUGACCGCGCCCUAUAGGGAUCAUCGAAUCGAUAGCAAUAAGCCCUGUUUGAAGAGGUUCGUAUACGGAACGCCUGGAAAUUAUACUUGGAGCAGGAGAUUCAAUUAAGCGAGAUUCGGAAGCUAUAAUUUCGCCUUUCCCAUCAAUAGGUUUAGCCAGAGCAUUUACAACACGACCCAAGUAAGCCUCACUCACGGGUAUCUGAGCAAUUCUUCCUGUUGCUUUUACAAAACUUCCCUCUUGUAUCAUCAACCCAUCGCCCAUUAAUACAAUCCCAACAUUUUUGGAUUCCAAAUUCAGAGCAAUACCCCUAGUACCUUCUGCAAAUUCGACUAAUUCUCCUGACAUUAUUUCACCAAGACCUAUAAUACGAGCAAUCCCAUCCCCCACUUGAACUACGCGACCUAUAUUCUCAAUCCCUACUUUCCUAUUAUAUUGUUCAAUACGUUCGCGGAGAAUUUUAUGAAUUUCGUCGACUCGAAGGGUUGCCAUUAGUGUUUCUUGACUCUUUUUUCGGAAGCAAGGGGAAAAAUAAUGCCUAAAUUCUAAACGAAAGUAGAAGUUCAAGGCCUAAUUAAUUUAAUUAUCUCUUCCAUUCCAGGGACCCGAGAAUGCCAAUAUUAGCACGAAUCGUACGGAAAUGUAACUCGGUAUUCAAACAACUAUUCAGAGUUCCUAGAGCUCCUUGUACGGCCUGUUGGAAAACCCGCUGUCGGACCUGAUUCAUUGCCCUUUGUUUUUCAAAAUAAAGGGUUUCGUUUUUAGACUUUUCCAAUUGUUCCAAACUAAUAGAAGUAGCAUUAAUCAAAUUUGCUUUUUCUCGUUCUAUCUCAGAGUAUCCAUUCAUUCGAUACUCAUCCGCUUCUAGUUCGACUUUCUGUAAUCGAAUCCGAGCUUUUUCGAGUUGCUCAAUGGUCCCUCUACGCAAUUCUUCUGAAUUUCAAAUAGUACUCAAGAUCCUCUGUUUUCGAUUAUCUAAUAAAUCUUUUAAUGAAAGUAGAUUAUUUUGUAAGUUUACAACUUUUAUGAUCUCUUCCCGAACCAAACAUGAAUCUUUCGAUUCAUUUGGCUCUCACGCUCCUUUUUUUUUCUAUAGCUAUUUCCAUAUCUUUUUUUUAAGUAAUGAGCCUAUCCUCUAUCUUCUUUUUUAUGUUUAUAUUUCAAUAUACCGAAACCUAUAUAAGACUAGAUAAAUAUUAAGAGGACUCUUCCGCCUAGAUAAAAAUAUAUCAUGGUCAGCAAAGUUGUUUCUUUAUUUUUAUUUGCCCUCUAGUUAAUAAUUUCAAUUUCAUUAAGAAAAACUAACUAAUAAAUGGAAAAUGAAAAUUAAUAGAAUUCUUUUUUAUUUUUUUCUUCAAAUCCAAAAAAUUUCUCUUUUUUAUACAUAGGUCGUCGAUUCGGCAUUGGUUAAAAAAGGGCAGGGUGCCCCCUUUUUUUUCUAGUAAAUAGUUCAAACCAUUUUAUCGAUAUGAGUGUUCUAUAUCAGAUAAAUUUUACAUUAGCUAUUUCCCGUUUAAAUUCGGUACUAAUACUAAUAUAGUUGUAGAAAGAGUACCUCUUUUUGCCUGGACUUCAAGCAGUUUAGCUUUAACCGUGUUAAUGGUCUCACAUUCUUGGUUUAUAGAGAAUCAAAGUUGAUUUACCAAUGAGUCGCGAAAUGCUAUGGUUCUUCCAUAUGAUUUCUGAAUUUAUUCAGAAGUAAUUCGUCGAGAUCGUGCACCCUUUUCUUAUUUAUCCGAAAAAUACUAAAAAAUAUUAUAAAGUGCAGCCGGAUAGAUCCAAUCUAUUCUUGAAAUAGACAACUCGCACACACUCCCUUUCCAAAAAAAAUCAAAACACCAACCACUACAGUUAGAUUUAUUAGAUUUGUUGCUAAAAUAUCGGUAUUAAGCCCGAAACUGCCAGCGGAUGGCCAGUGAGCUAAAAAAGGGCAGGGUGCCCCCUUUUUUUUUCUAGUAAAUAGUUCAAACCAUUUUAUCGAUAUGAGUGUUCUAUAUCAGAUAAAUUUUACAUUAGCUAUUUCCCGUUUAAAUUCGGUACUAAUACUAAUAUAGUUGUAGAAAGAGUACCUCUUUUUGCCUGGACUUCAAGCAGUUUAGCUUUAACCGUGUUAAUGGUCUCACAUUCUUGGUUUAUAGAGAAUCAAAGUUGAUUUACCAAUGAGUCGCGAAAUGCUAUGGUUCUUCCAUAUGAUUUCUGAAUUUAUUCAGAAGUAAUUCGUCGAGAUCGUGCACCCUUUUCUUAUUUAUCCGAAAAAUACUAAAAAAUAUUAUAAAGUGCAGCCGGAUAGAUCCAAUCUAUUCUUGAAAUAGACAACUCGCACACACUCCCUUUCCAAAAAAAAUCAAAACACCAACCACUACAGUUAGAUUUAUUAGAUUUGUUGCUAAAAUAUCGGUAUUAAGUCCGAAACUGCCAGCGGAUGGCCAGUGAGCUAAAAAAACGAAAGAAUGGGUUACAUUUUUCAUAUGCUCUCCUCUUAUAGAUAGGACGAACAAAGAACAAAGUUUUUUGAUCACUUACUUCGCUCGCCCUUUUUUGAUCGGUUUUUUUAAUGCAAAUAGAUUCAAUCUAGUAAUUUCUUUUAGAUUAAGUCUUACGUCUUGUUUGACCGGUGAAAGACUUCCUUUGUUGAAAUGUUCUGUUCCCAAAAUUCCUAAAAUAAAAGGAAAAAACUUUCCACUUUCCUAAACUAAGGACGGGAAAUAAGAAGGUGAGCAUAUCUUCUAAAUUAAUAAUACUCAACUCAGCCCUUCCUAGAAUGGGGUAUUAUCUGUCCCGAUAAAUAGAUAAUUCCAGGAGUAAUAAAUAGGAGUAAAUUAAAUAAAGUAUUGAUAUAAUUGGAAUUGCGGAAGCAAAUACCAAUUUACUAAAAAAAGAAAAAAGUAUCUAAUCGAAAUCGAAAGAAUUUUUUUUAAGAUUAA
rnacentral:lncRNA from 1 species